AGUGAACGCUGGCGGUAGGCCUAACACAUGCAAGUCGAACGGCAGCACAGUAAGAGCUUGCUCUUACGGGUGGCGAGUGGCGGACGGGUGAGGAAUACAGCGGAAUCUACUUUUUCGUGGGGGAUAACGUAGGGAAACUUACGCUAAUACCGCAUACGACCUACGGGUGAAAGCAGGGGAUCUUCGGACCUUGCGCGAUUGAAUGAGCCGAUGUCGGAUUAGCUAGUUGGCGGGGUAAGGGCCCACCAAGGCGACGAUCCGUAGCUGGUCUGAGAGGAUGAUCAGCCACACUGGAACUGAGCCACGGUCCAGACUCCUACGGGAGGCAGCAGUGGGGAAUAUUGGACAAUGGGCGCAAGCCUGACCCAGCCAUACCGCGUGGGUGAAGAAGGCCUUCGGGUUGUAAAGCCCUUUUGUUGGGAAAGAAAAGCAGCAGGUUAAUACCCCGCUGUUCUGACGGUACCCAAAGAAUAAGCACCGGCUAACUUCGUG
rnacentral:rRNA from 1 species